AUUGAACGCUGGCGGAAUGCUUUACACAUGCAAGUCGAACGGCAGCACGGGGGCAACCCUGGUGGCGAGUGGCGAACGGGUGAGUAAUACAUCGGAACGUGCCCAAUCGUGGGGGAUAACGUAGCGAAAGCUACGCUAAUACCGCAUACGAUCUACGGAUGAAAGCGGGGGAUCGCAAGACCUCGCGCGAAUGGAGCGGCCGAUGGCAGAUUAGGUAGUUGGUGGGGUAAAGGCUCACCAAGCCGACGAUCUGUAGCUGGUCUGAGAGGACGACCAGCCACACUGGGACUGAGACACGGCCCAGACUCCUACGGGAGGCAGCAGUGGGGAAUAUUGGACAAUGGGCGGAAGCCUGAUCCAGCAAUGCCGCGUGUGUGAAGAAGGCCUCGGUUGUAAG
rnacentral:rRNA from 1 species